rnacentral:RNase_P_RNA from 1 species
AGGCUGCCGGACGGCCGCAGGUUCAGGGGUUUUCCCUGAACGUGAGGAAAGUCCGAGCUCCGUAGGGCAGGGUGCCGGGUAACGCCCGGUGGAGGCGACUCCAAGGAAAGUGCAACAGAGAGAUACCGCCCCUUCCUUCGGGAAGAGGUAAGGGUGGAAAGGCGAGGUAAGAGCUCACCAGCGGCUUGGCGACUUGUCCGCUAUGUAAACCCCACCUGGUGCAAGAUUGAUAGGGGAGCAUAUGUGGCGGCCCGUCACGCUCCCGGGUAAUCGCUUGAGCCCGUUGGCAACUUCGGGCCUAGAUAGAUGGCCGUUCAAGACAGAACUCGGCUUAUAGGCAG